rnacentral:rRNA from 1 species
UACGUAGGGGGCAAGCGUUGUCCGGAAUCAUUGGGCGUAAAGCGCGCGUAGGCGGCCUGGCAAGUCCGCUGUGAAAGUCCAGGGCUCAACCCUGGAAUGCCGGUGGAAACUGUCAGGCUCGAGUCCGGAAGAGGCGAGUGGAAUUCCUGGUGUAGCGGUGAAAUGCGCAGAUAUCAGGAGGAACACCGGUGGCGAAGGCGGUUCUCUGGGCCUGACCUGACGCUGAGGAGCGAAAGCGUGGGGAGCGAACAGG